UGGGGAAUAUUGCGCAAUGGGGGGAACCCUGACGCAGCCAUGCCGCGUGAAUGAAGAAGGCCUUCGGGUUGUAAAGUUCUUUCGGUAUUGAGGAAGGUUGAUGUGUUAAUAGCACAUCAAAUUGACGUUAAAUACAGAAGAAGCACCGGCUAACUCCGUGCCAGCAGCCGCGGUAAUACGGAGGGUGCGAGCGUUAAUCGGAAUAACUGGGCGUAAAGGGCACGCAGGCGGUUAUUUAAGUGAGGUGUGAAAGCCCUGGGCUUAACCUGGGAAUUGCAUUUCAGACUGGGUAACUAGAGUACUUUAGGGAGGGGUAGAAUUCCACGUGUAGCGGUGAAAUGCGUAGAGAUGUGGAGGAAUACCGAAGGCGAAGGCAGCCCCUUGGGAAUGUACUGACGCUCAUGUGCGAAAGCGUGGGGAGCAAACAGGAUUAGAUACCCUGGUAGUCCACGCUGUAAACGCUGUCGAUUUGGGGGUUGGGGUUUAACUCUGGCGCCCGUAGCUAACGUGAUAAAUCGACCGCCUGGGGAGUACGGCCGCAAGGUUA
rnacentral:rRNA from 1 species